AGGUGUAGUUUAAUGGCAAAACCAUGGUCUCCAAAACUAUAUUUAUGGGUUCGAUUCCUAUCACCUC
rnacentral:tRNA from 1 species